GGAGCCCUGAAAAGGAAGAUGGUUUUAUUAUGCCGAGGUGGGGAGGUGAGAGCCUUGGGGAAGUUAGAUUGGCAAGGACGGUUUCUUUGGUUACUGUAUGACUAUAUGCAAAUUGUUUAUGUUAAUUUAUGAUAUUUAUUAUUUCGUUAUAUGUUAAAGGAGUCAUACAGUAUUUGGUUGUGUUAAUAAAUGCUGUGGCCUGUUUUUCUCCAAGAA